GUACGGCGAGUGAGCGGCAAAAGCUCAAAUUUGAAAUCUGGCACCUUCGGUGUCCGAGUUGUAAUUUGAAGAAGGUAACUUUGGAGUUGGCUCUUGUCUAUGUUCCUUGGAACAGGACGUCACAGAGGGUGAGAAUCCCGUGCGAUGAGAUGCCCAAUUCUAUGUAAAGUGCUUUCGAAGAGUCGAGUUGUUUGGGAAUGCAGCUCUAAGUGGGUGGUAAAUUCCAUCUAAAGCUAAAUAUUGGCGAGAGACCGAUAGCGAACAAGUACAGUGAUGGAAAGAUGAAAAGAACUUUGAAAAGAGAGUGAAAAAGUACGUGAAAUUGUUGAAAGGGAAGGGCUUGAGAUCAGACUUGGUAUUUUGCGAUCCUUUCCUUCUUGGUUGGGUUCCUCGCAGCUUACUGGGCCAGCAUCGGUUUGGAUGGUAGGAUAAUGACUAAGGAAUGUGGCUCUACUUCGGUGGAGUGUUAUAGCCUUGGUUGAUACUGCCUGUCUAGACCGAGGACUGCGUCUUUGACUAGGAUGCUGGCAUAAUGAUCUUAAGCCACCCGUCUUGAACCNAC
rnacentral:rRNA from 1 species